GCUUCUUUUCCCACCGGAGCUUGCUCCACCGGGAAAAGAGGAGUGGCGAACGGGUGAGUAACACGUGGGUAACCUGCCCAUCAGAAGGGGAUAACACUUGGAAACAGGUGCUAAUACCGUAUAACAAUCGAAACCGCAUGGUUUCGUUUUGAAAGGCGCUUUACGGUGCCGCUGAUGGAUGGACCCGCGGUGCAUUAGCUAGUUGGUGAG
rnacentral:rRNA from 1 species